AUUGUGACCAAAUUGUGCUGACGUGCAGUCUCAGACGUCGUCGACACAUGCAGUUUGUGACAAGGUGGCAAUUCCCACACCUCCUCUUUUAGGUUGUGUGUGUGUUGUGCCCUAUAUGUGCAUGAGUGUGUCCAGGACGGACCACUCUUAUUUCCAUUUCCCCAUCGAAGACUGGUCCCCAGGAUUGAUGAUGAUGGAUGC